rnacentral:rRNA from 1 species
GAUGAACGCUGGCGGCGUGCCUAAUACAUGCAAGUCGAGCGAACGGUCGAGAAGCUUGCUUCUCUGAUGUUAGCGGCGGACGGGUGAGUAACACGUGGAUAACCUACCUAUAAGACUGGGAUAACUUCGGGAAACCGGAGCUAAUACCGGAUAAUAUUUUGAACCGCAUGGUUCAAAAGUGAAAGACGGUCUUGCUGUCACUUAUAGAUGGAUCCGCGCUGCAUUAGCUAGUUGGUAAGGUAACGGCUUACCAAGGCAACGAUGCAUAGCCGACCUGAGAGGGUGGACGGCCACACUUGAACUGAGACCCGGUCCAGGCCCCUACGGGAGGCAGGCGUAGGGAAUCUUCCGGAAUGGGGGGAAGCCUGGAGGAGCAAAGGCGGGGGAGGGAAUAAGGUUUUCGGAUCGGAAAACUCUGGUAUUAGGGAAGAACAAAUGUUGAAGGAACUGUUCACCGCUUGACGGUAACUAAUCAGAAAGGCACGGCUAACUACGUU